rnacentral:rRNA from 1 species
UAACACGUGGGUGACCUGCCUUCGAGCGGGGGAUAACUGCCCGAAAGGGUGGCUAAUACCGCAGAUGUCGUGGAUUCGGUUGCACGACUGAACCGAUAUAGGGUUCGGAGAGGGGCCUGCGCCCGAUUAGCUAGCUGGUGGGGUAACGGCCUACCAGGGCGACGAUCGGUAGCUGGUCUGAGAGGAUGAUCAGCCAGACUGGGACUGCGAGACGGCCCAG